UACAGAGGUGGCGAGCGUUGUUCGGAUUUACUGGGCGUAAAGGGCGCGUAGGAGGCUUGGUGUGUCGACCGUGAAAUCUCCGGGCUCAACCCGGAAAGUGCGGUCGAAACUGCCGAGCUCGAGCGGGGGAUGGGAAAGCGGAACUCAGGGUGUAGCGGUGAAAUGCGUUGAUAUCCUGAAGAACACCGGUGGCGAAGGCGGCUUUCUGGAACCCGACUGACUCUGAGGCGCGAAAGUGGGGGGAGCAAAC
rnacentral:rRNA from 1 species